GCCCAUCAUCAUAAUAGCUCAGUCGGUAGAGCAUGAGACUCUUCAUCUCAAGGUUGUGGGUUUGAGCCCCACAUUGGGCA